rnacentral:lncRNA from 2 species
CGACGGCGGCGCCGCCCCUCACCGCUGACCACGCAGCCGGCGCGCGGUCCCUCCUGCCGACCGCGUCGCGAGACGCCUCCGACGCCACCACGAAGGAUCUUGAGCCGCCACCGGGAUGCCUUCUGUACCGCGACGCCGCCACCGCCAAGGAUCCUGCCCCAUGUGCUCUCUGUUGCGCCACCACCAGAACCCUCUCCACCACUGGCUGCAGACAAGUGCCGAUCAGGGAGAAAGACGAGAGCAACUGGUUUCGGGAGCCGGUAUGCUUCAUUAAUUUGCAGAACUCCUGUAUGUCCUUGAUCCAAAGUUCCAGCAUUGUGUAGUCUGUCAACAAUUUAAAUU